GAUGAACGCUGGCGGCGUGCUUAACACAUGCAAGUCGAACGGAAAGGCCCAAGCUUGCUUGGGUACUCGAGUGGCGAACGGGUGAGUAACACGUGGGUGAUCUGCCCUGCACUUCGGGAUAAGCCUGGGAAACUGGGUCUAAUACUGGAUAGGACCACUUCUUGGAUGUUGUGGUGGAAAGUUUUUUCGGUGUGGGAUGAGCUCGCGGCCUAUCAGCUUGUUGGUGGGGUAAUGGCCUACCAAGGCGUCGACGGGUAGCCGGCCUGAGAGGGUGUACGGCCACAUUGGGACUGAGAUACGGCCCAGACGCCUACGGGAGGCAGCAGUGGGGAAUAUUGCACAAUGGGCGCAAGCCUGAUGCAGCGACGCCGCGUGGGGGAUGACGGCCUUCGGGUUGUAAACUCCUUUCGCUAGGGACGAAGCGUUUUGUGACGGUACCUGGAGAAGAAGCACCGGCUAACUACGUG
rnacentral:rRNA from 1 species